rnacentral:rRNA from 1 species
UACGUAGGGUGCAAGCGUUAAUCGGAAUUACUGGGCGUAAAGCGUGCGCAGGCGGUGAUGUAAGACAGGUGUGAAAUCCCCGGGCUUAACCUGGGAACUGCAUUUGUGACUGCAUCGCUGGAGUGCGGCAGAGGGGGAUGGAAUUCCGCGUGUAGCAGUGAAAUGCGUAGAUAUGCAGAGGAACACCGAUGGCGAAGGCAAUCCCCUGGGCCUGCACUGACGCUCAUGCACGAAAGCGUGGGGAGCAAACAGG